rnacentral:tRNA from 1 species
GGCUUCGUAGCUCAUCUGGUAAAGCGCUUGCCACGCUGAGGUAUAGUGUUUCUGUCGCUGGUUCGAAUCCAGCCGAAGCCC